rnacentral:misc_RNA from 1 species
AAAAAAUAAAGCAAAUGCGCUUAGAGACUCAACCCGCUAACACCUUCCGUUUCCUAUUCACACGUUCUGGUUCCUGUCAGGCACCGGAUCCAAUUCCGUUCCAAAUUGGUUUUCCCUUUCCUUUUUUUUCCCAGGACAUUUCCCGGAUAAAUAAAAACCCCCAACCCAUACCCCUUCUCCUCAAUCACCAAUUCUCAAAAAAUCUCAUUCUUAGCUAUUAUUUUUACUCCAAUCGAAAUCACAAUGGAUGUUUCUGUCAUUGCCGAUACUGUAACCCUGGCCACGCAGCAAGGAGUAGGGUUUACGAAUCCGCUACUCCACCGACAAAAUUGCAUCUCCAAUAGCAACCUUGCUCUCUCCGCUAGAUUCCUCCAAAUCUCCGUGGUUAUUUUGGAAGCACUAGCUCCUCCGCCGGUCAAAUCAAACCCGCAUAAAACCGCUCGCGGGACUCUUCUUCGCAAGAAACAACGGACGAGGCGGAAAUCGUGCAGCAGCGGAGGCUACGAGGAUGGCGGCGAGUAUGCUGGGUUUUGGGGUGGUGAUGGUGACGGUGACGGUCCGUUUGGUGGAGCUGGUGGAAGUUGGGGUGGUGGCAGAGGGUGGAAUUCUGACAGAUUUGGAGGGCAAAGUUGGGACGAGUCAUCGUGGUCGUCAUCAUCUGAGUUUGCUUAUGGGUUCGUUUAUGAGGUGAUUUAUUGGAUUGCCUUGUCGACUUGCAUGCAAUUUGCGUUCGAGAAGGUUGUGAGGAUCAUGACCGAUGGAAUCGGUGAUGCUGAGAGAGAGAAGGUUCCUAUGAGAUUGACUUCCGUUUGCUAAAUUGGUAAACGAUAUUGCAAAUUUAUGAAUGAAGGGGAAUGAAUUGGGAUAAUAGACUUAGUGUAUUUAAUUGGGAUAUCAUAUCAUAUGCUAUUUGCUCCGACUUUCCUUUCACAGAUAAUGCAAAUAUCGUAUAUAUGUUCAUCUACACUGUUUCUGUGACGGUUCCUCUUUUUAUUUUAUUUAUUUUUUUCUUUACAUUGUUUCUUUUCACAGAUAAUGUCCUUGGUUUCACAUUUUUUGCCUGUCACAGAUUGGCAACUUAAGAAUUCGAGUUCCUUAAAGUUAUAAUAAUGUGGAACAGUAAUUAUAUGAUACUAUAACUCUGUUGAGAUUCUAGAUCCUUAAUGACAUAGUAUGCUCAAGAGUUAUUGUCUUGGCAUGGUAUGAUGACGGAGAUACAUGUAGUUUUACAUUUUUUAUAAUCUAGGUAGAUGGCAAUGUUCUUGUUUAUCUGUUGUAUCAUCCUCG